rnacentral:rRNA from 1 species
AGAACGAACGCUGGCGGCAGGCUUAACACAUGCAAGUCGAGCGCUCGCAGCAAUGCGAGAGCGGCAGACGGGUGAGUAACGCGUGGGAACAUACCCUCCGGUUCGGAAUAGCUCAGGGAAACUUGGAUUAAUACCGGAUACGGCUUAGCGGCGAAAGAUUCAUCGCCGGAGGAUUGGCCCGCGUUCGAUUAGCUAGUUGGCGGGGUAAUGGCCCACCAAGGCGACGAUCGAUAGCUGGUCUGAGAGGAUGAUCAGCCACAUUGGGACUGAGACACGGCCCAAACUCCUACGGGAGGCAGCAGUGGGGAAUAUUGGACAAUGGGCGCAAGCCUGAUCCAGCCAUGCCGCGUGAGUGAUGACGGCCUUAGGGUUGUAAAGCUCUUUCGCUAGGGACGAUAAUGACGGUACCUAGACAAGAAGCCCGGCUAACUUCGUGCCAGCAGCCGC